CAGCCGCCGCGGUAAUACAGAGGGUGCAAGCGUUAAUCGGAAUUACUGGGCGUAAAGCGUGCGCAGGCGGUUAUAUAAGACAGAUGUGAAAUCCCCGGGCUCAACCUGGGAACUGCAUUUGUGACUGUAUAGCUAGAGUACGGCAGAGGGGGAUGGAAUUCCGCGUGUAGCAGUGAAAUGCGUAGAUAUGCGGAGGAACACCGAUGGCGAAGGCAAUCCCCUGGGCCUGUACUGACGCUCAUGCACGAAAGCGUGGGGAGCAAACAGGAUUAGAUACCCGCGUAGUCCCUGUCUCUUAUAC
rnacentral:rRNA from 1 species